AACGAACGCUGGCGGCAUGCCUAACACAUGCAAGUCGAACGAGACCUUCGGGUCUAGUGGCGCACGGGUGCGUAACGCGUGGGAACCUGCCCUUAGGUUCGGAAUAACUCCCCGAAAGGGGUGCUAAUACCGGAUAAUGUCUUCGGACCAAAGAUUUAUCGCCUUUGGAUGGGCCCGCGUUGGAUUAGCUAGUUGGUAGGGUAAAAGCCUACCAAGGCGACGAUCCAUAGCUGGUCUGAGAGGAUGAUCAGCCACACUGGGACUGAGACACGGCCCAGACCCCUACGGGAGGCAGCAGGGGGGAAUAUUGGACAAUGGGCGAAAGCCUGAUCCAGCAAUGCCGGGGGAGUGAUGAAGGCCUUAGGGUUGUAAAGCUCUUUUACCCGGGAUGAUAAUGACAGUACCGGGAAAAAAAGCCCCGGCUAACCCCGU
rnacentral:rRNA from 1 species